rnacentral:rRNA from 1 species
UACGUAGGGGGCCAGCGUUGCUCGGAAUUACUGGGCGUAAAGGGUUCGUAGGUGGUGCGGCAAGUUGGGAGUGAAAUCUCUGGGCUUAACUCAGAGGCUGCUUUCAAAACUGCCGUGCUCGAGUGCGAGAGAGGCCAGUAGAAUUGCAGGUGUAGCGGUGAAAUGCGUAGAUAUCUGCAGGAACACCCGUGGCGAAGGCGGCUGGCUGGAUCGCAACUGACACUGAGGAACGAAAGCUAGGGGAGCAAACAGG